AUGGCCACUCUUACGUCUCUCCCUCCCCUGCCUCACUCAAAACCAACCAGACUUUCCGUUUCAGCUUUAGCGCUCUCAUCCUCAGGCAAUGAUGGAUCUAGUUCUAGAGCACCUCACAAGAGAAGGCGAAGAAUUAAAGGUCCACGGAAAAGUAUGGAAGAUUCUGUUCAACCGAUUGGCGGUUUGGGUGAAAUUGGUAUGAAUUGCAUGCUUGUAGGGAAUCAUGACUGUUAUAUCCUCAUUGAUGCUGGUAUCAUGUUUCCUGACUGUAAGGUUUUUAUGUAA